GUAGGGAAUAUUGGGCAAUGGAGGCAACUCUGACCCAGCCAUGCCGCGUGCAGGAAGACGGUCCUCUGGAUUGUAAACUGCUUUUGAAUGGGAAGAAACGCACUUUUGCGAAAGUGUUUGACGGUACUAUUAGAAUAAGCACCGGCUAACUCCGUGCCAGCAGCCGCGGUAAUACGGAGGGUGCAAGCGUUAUCCGGAUUUAUUGGGUUUAAAGGGUGCGUAGGCGGCUUGAUAAGUCUGGGGUUAAAGGCCGCAGCUUAACUGUACGCAUGCCCUAGAUACUGUUGAGCUUGAGGGACCUGGAGGUAGCUGGAAUGCCCUGUGUAGCGGUGAAAUGCAUAGAUACGGGGAGGAAUACCGAUUGCGAAGGCAUGUUACUACGAAUUAACUGACGCUGAGGCACGAAAGCGUGGGGAUCAAACAGGAUUAGAUACCCCUGUAGUCC
rnacentral:rRNA from 1 species